GAUGAAGAACGUAGCGAAAUGCGAUAAGUAAUGUGAAUUGCAGAAUCCAGUGAAUCAUCGUAUCUUUGAACGCACAUUGCGCCCGCCAGCAUUCUGGCGGGCAUGCCUGUUCGAGCGUCAUUUCAACCCUCGACCUCCCUUUGGGGAAGUCGGCGUUGGGGACCGGCAGCACACCGCCGGCCCUGAAAUGGAGUGGCGGCCCGUCCGCGGCGACCUCUGCGUAGUAAUCCAACUCGCACCGGAACCCCGACGCGGCCACGCCGUAAAACACCCAACUUCUGAACGUUGACCUCGAAUCAGGUAGGACUACCCGCUGAACUUAAGCAUAUCAAUAAGCGGAGGA
rnacentral:misc_RNA from 1 species